GACGAACGCUGGCGGCGUGCUUAACACAUGCAAGUCGAACGGUGAACCAGAGCUUGCUCUGGGGAUCAGUGGCGAACGGGUGAGUAACACGUGGGCAACCUGCCCAGACUCUGGGAUAACCUCGGGAAACCGAUGCUAAUACCGGAUGCGACCACUUCGGACAUCCGACGGUGGUGGAAAGUUUUCGGUCUGGGAUGGGCCCGCGGCCUAUCAGCUAGUUGGUGGGGUAAUGGCCUACCGAAGGCGACGACGGGUAGCCGGCCUGAGAGGGCGACCGGCCACACUGGAACUGAGACACGGUCCAGAC
rnacentral:rRNA from 1 species